rnacentral:lncRNA from 1 species
CAUUAAGGCGUGACGUGAGCGUUGGACGCGAGCGUAGUAGCCCUAUAUAGACCCAUGAAUUUAUAUAAGGAGUAUGGACGUGUGUAAAUACAUACAUAUAUUAUAGAGUCUGAGAGGCUCGAUAUUUUAUGAGAUAAAAGUUUUAUCGCUUGCGGCAUGCAUUCGAUUUUUCCUUAGAAAUUGAUUUGGGGAAACAUAAAUAUUUUAUUUAUUAAUUUAUUUUUGUCUACUCACUCUAACGUUAUUAAAUGUUUUCCCCCUGGGCCCUUCAUUUUAAAAAAUGCCCAAUCUGCAAAGUUCGGGUUGGAACUAGUAGGAGGCGAGGCAUAGUCACCCGCAUUUCUGCCAGUUUUCAUCAGUAGGUUACAUGUUCAACCUACUCGUGUUUUCUUGCUUCUGCUAGAGUCUAGUAGCUCUGGAUACUUUGGGAUUAUUGUUUAUUAUUUCGGUGGUUUGCUCGGCUUGAUGAUUUGAUGUUUAGAAUUUCUGAAGGAUAAUGUUUGCUUUUAUUAGCUGGAUAUUUAUGUGAAGUUUGGACGUGUUGUAGUAAGAGUGUAAAUUUGAAAUUUUUGAGUUAGGGUUGUCCAUUUUCAAGGGAGGUUUUAACAAUCUUUUCGGUAAAUUUUCUUUGGAGGUGGUCCCCGCACGACUUACUCCGAGUUUCAGGGUGAAAUUUGGGGUGGGUCGUGUCAGUUAAAUAAUGUUAGGAACAUGAAAAAUUAUACUUUAGAGAGGUUAUUAUAUUCUCGAUAAAUGAAAAUGUUCAUUUUUUGAUAGUUUAUUACUUUAUAUAGGGCUUUGUUGUUAGGAGUUUCUUAUUUGUUAAGAGUUUCCUUAAUUUUUCAUAAUACAAGGAAAAAGCAAAAGACUUUAUAUAGAUAUUUUGAGAAAUUACUAAAUUGAGGAAUUAAAAUUGUUAAGAGUUUUCUUAAUUUGUAUUAUUAUGAACAUUAAUUACUUUUUCUUUUAUUUAUUUUAUUAAUUUUUAAUAUUUUUGGAUGAUUUUCUUUUUUGGUUAUUAUGUCGAGACGACCCUAUCCCGUUCUGAUCCGACCAGUCACCAAUCGGGACGGGACGGGACAUGAUCAAUUCUUAAAAACGAUAUUCCUAUAUCGUCCUGUCCUGCCCUUUUAUUUUCAGGACAGGACAAGAUUUACCAAACCCCGUCCCAUGCCUAACCUUAGCCAAAACGGUCCAACUUCUAAUCAACUACAUUACCUAUAACCUCUAACACUUCCCGAGAAACCGCCAUCAUUUUUUUUUCUUAAACAGAUACAGAAUGCUAAGAACAUCUUUAACAACGCUAGCCAUUUUAUAAUCAAAUUUUAGCCAAAAUAGCUAAAAAGUCAUUUUUUUGGCUCGCCACUUUAGAAAUCCCUCUACACCAGUACUCUAUAUUUCAACUAAAGUUUGAUUUAUGUCAUCAUUUAAAAUAUAAUUCAUUUAAAUGUGUUUUAUUAUUACAUAAAGGGUUACAUAAAAUGACUUAAAAAUGAACACUUUGAAUUAACAUAAAUUAUAGAAAGCCUCAUCUUGUUAGCUAAGAGCAUCUUUAGCAGACACUAUAUUGACUCUUUAGCCAUUUUGGAGAGCGAGUUUAGUUUUUUUAUCAGUUUUACUAGCUCUAGCAGACUAGUAAGUGGCUAGCUAUUUUAACUUUUAGUUAUCUCGCUAGUUAAAUAUAAUUUAUGUAACUUAAAGUAUUCAUUUUAAGUCAGUUUAUGUAAUAUCAAAACACUUUUAAAUUUACUUUUCUUUAUUUAAUCAAUAAUAUAAAUCAAGCUUUAGUUAAAAUAGAGAGUACCGCUAUAGAAGAAUUUCUAAAGUGACCAGCCAAAAUAACUUUAAUUACAAAAUGACUAGCAUUGCUAAAGAUGCUCUUACUAGUCUGCUGGAGUUGGUAAAAUCGAUAAAAAACUAUACUCGCUCUCAGAGAGUCUGCUAAAAAUGCUGUAAGCGAACAAUGAAUUAUAGUAAAUUAUAGUGAUGCUAGAAAGGAAAUUAUAGCAAAGUGCUCCCCUUUAUUUGAAUACCCACCUACGGCUUUGAUUGUUAUUACUUCUGCAAAAGCUACAACGUCAUUCCUUGCGGUAGUCAUUUUUUCCCACUUCAGUCAAUGAGCAGUUACUUUAUAUUUUACCCUAUUUUGAUAUGAAGGGAGACAAUCUAAUGACAAUCUUAUAAUGAGAAUCAAGUGAAGACUUUGGCUUAGUUUGGUAUUACUGUGAGAAUACUCAAUUUUUUUAAAAAAACUUAGUUUUAAAAAAGCAAUUCACAAUCUGCUUCUAAAAUCGUGGUUAUUUAAACUAAAACGUUUUAGAUAUACCUUGAUCCUCAUUAUAAAAUGAUGAAUAUAAGUCAUUUUAUUCCCCAAAACUUAAUACAAAACUGGCCCUUUGAAUGAAUUGGUUAGAUGAUAUGCAUCUUGAAAUUUGAAAAAUAUUGAAUGAACUUUAAAACACUCAUCUAAUCGUUAUUUCAGAACAAUCAAAAGUCCUCAUUUGAUCUGCUUUAGAAGCUAUCACUUGAUAUAAAUACUUUUCUUAUGCAUAUUAACAACUCAUGGGGACAUUUGGAAGUAAAACGAAUUUAACUACAUUCUAAGAUGAAUUUUGCUAAAAGGCACAAAUCUUCCGAGAUUUAGAUUGAGAAUGCGCUUGAGAGAAGUUUGAUUUUUACCUCCUUGGCCGGCAACGAGCACUUUCGCCUUUGUCGAACUUGCAUUUGUUGGUUAUGUUUGGGUCUGGAAUGUGUUGGGCUCCUAGCGACAUCUGAUGUGGGCAUGUGGAUCAACGAGAGCUUGGUGGCAAGUUGUGAGAUUAGGAAAAGGGAAAUUGUAGCGACUAGCGGGGUUUAGUGUAUCUCUCGAUGGCUUGGUUUGCUGAUCACCUUGGAGGCGCGAGUUCGGAUGAUGCGGGGUAUUAGGAUUUAUGUGGCAUGGAAGCGUGGUCAUCAGAUCAAACCGGUCCAUUAUGGAUUCUAUUUGGUAUGGGGAUGAGUCUGCUUGACAAGAGCGACAUGUUUCCAUGUAGUGGUAGGGAGAGCCAGAUGAUGACUACAACGAUCUAGCAACUAUUUUGGCGCCGUGCAGAUGGUGGUAUGGUGAUGGUGAUCAUGGUAGAGUUGGGCUUGUGUGGCGGCUUGGGUCUCCCUUGUUUCCUUGGUUGAGAUUUGGGCUUGGGCCAUCAUUUUGAGCCUGGUCUUAGUUGGUUUAUUUACCUUUACUUAUUUUAUUUGGUUAGUCUUUGUCACCUCUUUAGCGUGUGAUAAGUUCCUAUAAUUAUUGUGUGGGGCUAGUUGGGUUGUGUACCUGUGUGUGCACUUAAAGUGUCUUGUAUGCUCUAAGUAAGCAACGAGUUUCUUACUUCGGUAGUUUCCGAACUGCUGCUUAAUCCAUGGGUAAGCAAAAGACAACCUGGAGAACUGAAACAUCUUACUAAUCGCUUACUGGUGGGGUGAAGUUAAGUGUCGUCCGCUCUAUUUUUCGACAACAAGAUAAUUGGAAAGAUGAAUCAUGGGAUAUUAAGAUAUGUAAUCGUAUAUUCGUGUUAGAUAUUUAGUGAUCUUCACCGCUAUAUCAAAACAAAUGAAGUCGUUAGUAAAACAAUUUUCUUUACUAGUUAGUUGGUGCUUGUUACGAGAGCUGUAUUUUGUAGAAAUUUCUGAUAUUGCCUCAGGAUAUACUCUAGAUGCUUAUUGUAAUAAGAGAUUUAGGCUUAACAUCACCCCUUGUAUUCAUCAGUUUUAUUAAUUAAGGCUAGAUGGUACUCUGGUAGCCGCAUCAGCUCUCCCUUUGAAAAAUAUGAAGUUUUCUGGGAGAAACUUUGAGUACUUGACACAAACAGUUGAUCUUUUCAAUGCUCUAUUGUCUAAUUUACUCCCAAUAAUUAUUGGAAGUUGCUACAACAUUGAUCUUGAAUAAGGUUUUGUACUAUUUUGGUGUAGUUGACACAAACAUUGGUCUUUUAAGACAAGAAAAUACAAGGGUUCCUAGCAUAUAUUGUUGUCCACCACUUGAGACCAAAACACUUCAGUAUCCCAACUUGGCUUAAUAGCAAAGUUGUCUGCAUGUGACCCCCAGCCAAAGGUCAUAGCCAGUGUCAUGUGAGUAUUCCUAACAAGACUUUUGGACCAUCUUAGACAGUGACUUGGUACCCAAAAGUCCAACUCUCUAGUCCCGUACCCUCCCUCCUCAUUAGUACUUCAAUACCCAUUUGCUCCAUCAAUACAUAACAAUGGGGCAACCUUGACAGAACAUGAAGAAGAAGUAACAAAUAGAGGUGUUCAGAGAAAUAAAUACAUGAAGAAGAAAAGAAGGGAACAAUAGAGUUCAUUGAUUAAAUCUGAAAGAGAAAAAGAAGAAGAAAAAAAACACAAAAACGAAGAAGACUCGUUGUUUAUGAUUGUUUGUUUGUUGGUGGAAGGUUCAAAUCAUUGCCCAUAUAUAAUGUACUAGCUUCUGUUUUAAUAUUUUGCAUUAUGGUGUGCAAAGUCAUAACAAUGAUUAGGUAGUUUUAUUUGGCAAAACAAUUAUUAGGUAGUUGGAGCAUAUAAUUAACAACCAUAUAACUCAUAUUUACAGCCAUUAAUCCUCACAUUGUUCUUUUAUAUGUAAUUCGUUGUAAUCACUGGGAAGUUUGAGAUUUUGAUGGAACUGGCCCUGAGACAACAGUUCCUAACAAUACAGAAGUAAAAACUAAUGAUUGUUAUAAACUUAUAUUAGUCUCCUACCCUCAUUAUUGAAUAGGCCAAACCCCCAAUGUGAAGAGGCCAAAAAUCAAGGGCAUUUCAAGAACAACUGUUGUUUUUUUGAGUCAUAGGAACAUCUGGACCCAACUAGGAAGAUCUUAUGCGCCAUUAAUUAUGCGCUUGUCUUUGGCUGCUUUCUUCUGGGAACCAAGUCUUUGUUGCCAAUGCAAACAACCUGCAAAAGGGUCCUCCACAACUGCAACAACACAAGUCUCUUCGGUAAGCUGGAAAACCCAAAACAAGAGCUGCUUUUUUCAUAAUUCAAAAGCUCCAUUCUUGCAGGGCAUGGUCAGCAGUCGGCUUUUAUUUUUCUGUUUCUAUCUAGACUUGCAUAUAUAACAAGUUCAGACCUUGUCUAGCUCAGGACCAGUGAUUAGUAGCUGUGUUGAAUCAAUGUCUUAGGAUUUAAGAACUCUGACUUACUAAAUAAGUUAAUUGCAGCUGUAGCUAUCUGUUUUAACUUUUGUGUAUCUUUCUCUGUGGUUGUGCUGGUGUUCUGCUUUUCUUGAGAAAUAAUAAACCCAGAUAUGUUUCAAGAUUUGAAGGUGUUUUCUUUGAGAAUCCUAGAUCUUUUCUGAGCAAGAAAAGUAAAUAUCUUUGAGAAAAAAGUUACCUUUUUUCAAAGUAAAAGGAAAAACUAGUGGUUAAAGUAGAGGACUUGGGAUUCACAAUACGAGUGAUUGAGAAAAGUUACUGUAUCUGGGUUUUGAGACCUCACCAGUUUCAAACUCUUUCUUGUGGAUGUUCUGGCAUUCACUUUUCUGGGAUUCAAGCUCAGCUUUUUGAGAUUCCCAGGGAAUCUCUUGGGAUUUGGAAUUAAUUUGGAAUUGUGGGGAUUUUAGCCGUUAAACAAAGCCAAUGACGGUCAAGUCCAUUUCAACAAUGACAGCCUGUUGUGUCGGUUUUACAGGGUUUUUCCUUCUGUUCUUAUCCCCACUCUCUUUGCCCUUUCUGAAAUCCAAGUCUCAAGAAGAAUCUGAAUUGUCUGAUACAUACUUGAUUUAUAAUUUUUUAUUUUUUUUGGUUCAUAUCUUUUGUAGUUUGAAAUCAUCAAGGGUAUUUGAGAAGUGGGUCUAAUGCCAAAUUGGUUCUGGGUUGCUUCAAUGGGUUGAUGCUUAUUGACAAUGCGCUUGUUCUGGUGGCAACAGUUGCCUCUGCUUAUACUCAUUCAGAUUUUACAACCCAGCAGAACAAGUUACAAAAUAUAUGGUACUCUCUCUCUACUCUCUAGUCUUACUUGUUACAAUGCAAUUCACAAUAAGUAGCAAACUCAUCCUCCAUACUGUUGUUGCUUUGAAUAUGCACAUGGUGAUUGGAAUUGUCUUGUAUUUAGGCUUUGUAGAGCCAAAAAUUUGGAGUUUCCCAGAUUCAAAGGUUCAAAAUAUAUGAGUCUGGUUAGAACACUUGCCAGGUUUUCCUUUUUGAACAUUGUUGGUACAAGAAAAUGUGGGGAUGGAGAUUAAGAGGAUUGUAAGCUGAUCGCUUGUAAAUACGUUCAGCUGUAUAGAAAUUUACUUUUCAAGACCAUAACAGCAGCUCAUAUCAAGCUUAUUUUGUUGCCACAAAUUAUAUGUUUUUGUACAUGUUCAUGAAUGGUAUAGUAAAUGUUCUUACUUAUUAUUCGUUUGGGUUAGUAAAUUUUCUUUCCUUAAUUGUGCUUCUUGUAGCUUGUAGUUUUUUUUUUUUGGAUACAUUAAUAGUGAUUGUAGUUGCUAGAGAAGAAUACUGAUGUUUUAUUCCUUUUACUUUUCCUAUAGCUGAAGCUUUACUGACUUUCAAUAGCAGAGUUGAAAGUCCUGAACUCUCCAGUGGUCAGACUGGAAAAUAUCCAUGUCUAAAACAAUGGACAUUACUGAAAUAUUAUAAACUGCAAGACCCUUGUGUUGUUUCUCUGUAAGAUCUCUCUCUCUCUCUCUCUCUCUCCCUCUCUCUCAUGGUGUUGUAUGUACAUUAAAUAUCAACAUUAUUGGAAUUAAAAACAUAUUACCGACUUCACCUGAUUAGAUGCUAGUGUUAUGAACUGGUUUGAGUUCUUGUGACCUGUAUAUUUUGGUGGUAAUGAUCAAUCAUGUAAUUCUAGGUCUUACUUCAAGAAUCCAUUUUAUGUUUCCUGUUUAACUAGUUACCUCAAACAAGUUUUACGUAGGCUCUAGUGGUCCCAAGUCUGGUGGCUACAUUGUAACAUCGUUUUAGUACAUAUCAAGUUUCUGAUAUCUGCAAAUGAUUACCAAAGAACGAUAUUCAUAUUGGUACAUUUUACUAGGUGUUGAAGUGAAAUACAAGUAGCUUAUAUUCAUAGCAAUGUUUUAAUCAAUUUUGGUUUUAUUUUUUAUUUUGACUUGGUUCAUCUUUUUCAUCACUCAGCAGCAAAUUUCCUGGUAUCUCUUCAAUUCCCCUGCGGCCUAGCAGAGUCAGCUUAGCACCAUUUGCUCCAAGACAUUUCGUGACACAGUCUUCAAUCAAUGUACAAAAAGAGAUCCAUAAACCCAGAAACAGAAGGAUAGCACACAUAGUUGAUGGGGACAGAAGUGUUCCAACACUCACACCUGUACAAGCAGCUGGUGACAAGAAACCAAAAAAGAAAGUUGCAGCCAUCAUUGGUGGAGUUGCUGCUGCUUUGCUUGUGGUUAUUGUAGUGAUACUUGUUUACAUCUAUUUAAUGCGUGUCAAAAGAGUGGUGAGGAGAACAUCUGAUACAUCAUCUUCUACACCAUCCCCCCAUGGUAAGUUAGCUAUGGGGACACUUUUCUUCUGCAUUCGUUUCUAAGUUGUACAUUCCAAACUGUUAAGGCUGUGAUAUGGCUAGCUGUGUAGUUAAGUAAAUAAGUUUCUUCUAUCUUUUCACUUCUUUCAGUUGAAUGGACAAGAGGGGACACAUCCCCCUACGCGGUUGCUCUAUCUCCAUAUGACACACACAACUUGAGGCAACUGACAAUAUUGGAACUGGAGCAAGCUACUAGCAAUUUCAAUGAAAACAAUAUCAUAGGCCAAGGCAGAUUUGGUUUGGUCUACAAGGGAUUACUCCAAGAUGGAACUAUUGUGGCUAUCAAGAGACGCCUACAUGCUCCAACUCAGUAUUUCUUUCAAGAGGUAAACAAGUUAGCAAUCAUUUCUUCUCCACUCAACCUUGACUUUCUUUGUGAGGUAGUGUCUAGACCCUCUUUUGAUGGAACUUCUUAGUAUCUUGAUUUGUCUUGAUCAAAUAUAGGUGAAGCACAUAGCUCGUGUGAACCACGUGCAUAUUCUCAGGCUCAUUGGUUAUUGUCAGGAUUCAAGUCAACAGUUACUUGUCUAUGACUAUCUUCCAAAUGGAAAUGUCGGGAAUCAUCUAUAUGGUACUCUCUCACUCACUAACUUACUCAUUCACUUAGCACAUGAUUCUCUAUCUCUAUCAUUCCAUCUAACCACAUUGUUAUGCAGAUGCUGAAGGUUUACCUAUUGGAAAGUUGAAUUUACGGCAAAGGUUAUCGGUUGCUUUGGGAGCAGCCAAAGGUACAUCAGCUAGUUCAACUUCUAGUGCAAGCCUUAAUUUAUGUUCUUCAUAAAUAUAUUACUUUUAUUUUGGACCAGGACUUGCACAUCUUCAUAGUUUGGUACCUCCCCUCCUGCACAUGAAUUUCAGGACAAGCAAUGUUCUUUUGGAUGAUAACUUUACAGCCAAGGUGUCCGAUUAUGGACUAACCAGACUGCUCAAUAAGGCUCCCUAUACCGGAUCAUCUUCAGCCAUAGACUGCUUUCUUGACCCAGAGUAUGUAAUCUCUCUUCAGUCCACUAAAUUAUUAUGUGAGCUACAAGAUAGAAUGCAGAUAGCAUCUCUUGGUCUCUGUCAGGCUAAAUUAUAUUACCAGAUCACAUAAUGUGUCAGAAUGACAUAUGCAAGGAAAACAAGAGUAAGAGUCCUCCACUAGUUAACUCACCGAAGAUUCUUGCAGGUCAUUUUUGCAUGCCAAGUGAUUUGUUUAGUGAAAUUAGCACCUAAUAUUGAUGUUGAUCACUUUACUGGAAGUCACCUAAUGCAUACCUCUAAUACUGAUACUACAGAAAGUCAUUUCGCGUAGGUUUUACCUUUUUCUUUUUGUAAAUUUAAACAUCUGUAACAGAGCAUAGAUGGAGUUCAACAAUGUAACUUGAUUGCCACUCUGUUGAUCUCAUGCUGUCAGCCCUUGAUUUUAUUUUGCUAUUAUAUAAGGCUAAGUUUCAGUCCAACAUUGAAUAGCUGUGACAUUCUUAGUGCCUUGUAACCAAAGUUGCUUUGAGUUUUGUUGAAUAUCCAUCUGUGAAAAGAAAUCUGCAGGGUUUAAGCAACAGCUUAAUUUGGUACUGAUGUCUAAUCUAAUCCUUUUUCCUAAAGGUUAGAUUCAUUGAACAAAUUUUCAGAAAGAGGUGAUGUGUACAGUUUUGGUGUCUUCUUACUGGAAUUGAUCAGUGGAUGUGAAGCAAAUGGCAGAUACCAGUUGAAUUCGGGGGAUAAUCUCGUAUUGCAGGUACGCAAGUCUUUUCAUAAAAGCCAUUAUUAGUGGCAACUUUAUAUCUCAGACUCUCAGUUUAUGCAUAUACUACUGGUUGCAACCUUUGUUCAGUUGUGAAAUUCGCAUAUGUACUAUUAAUGUGAAAAAGAGUAACUAGGUGAAGUACAUCUAUACUUGUACUUGUUUCAAAGCUUUCGGUUCUUACAAGAUUGUGUAUUAAUUUGAAGGCAAAGGAUUGUGAGGAUUUGGAGAGAUUUGUUGAUAAAACAUUAGGAGAAUAUUCAAUGCAAGCUGCAACAAAACAGAUGAUGGAGUUAGCAUUGAUGUGUAUAGAUGCUAGUGAACAAAGACCACACAUGAAGAUUGUUGUUCAAGAGCUCGAACGGAUUCAAGCAAGAGAAACUAGCCAUUUUCAAAUUGAAGUUGAUGAAGAAAUAGGUGCUGUAACUCUUGGCAGUGAACUUUUCAAAUGAUGCCUUCUGCUGUAACAGUCAUCUUUGCAUUUGCAUUCCAUUACAGAUUUGAUUGGUUUGUGAUUAGUACAGAAGAGAAAUAGAAUAUAUCAAAGCAUUCUUGAAGUAUAUAAAUCUAAUGAAAAUGGUACAGAUUGAUGGGACUAUCUGCCUCUGCUAUUUAACAAAGUCUCUUUCUGGGUUAAUGGUUAAUGUACAUGUUUAGCCCAAUUUCUGAAAGCUGUAAAUAUGCAGAGAAAGAAAGAAAAAACCAAGAAGUUUUUGGUUCUUACAAGCUGUAGUUGUAUAUUUCAAAUUAAAAAGAAAAAAAAAAGAAAAAAAAAAAGCUGUAAUUGUAGUAGUGUGAUACCUCUUAGCACUGUGCCGGGACCAGCUAAUAAUUCCUCUAGUACGAUGAGUUCGAUGAUAAGAUGCGUCAACAAGGCAAAAAACAAAAUACAAAAACUGCAUCAAAAAGAUACAUGCAUGAAAAUUAUUUUAUAGUAAAACUUGUAAUGAAAUAGUGUGAUAAAUGCAAUCUAAUCGUCUAUUCAUGUUGGUUUAAAUGCACUUUGCUGUGAACAUCUCUAGUCGGUCUUCCUCCAAUCUAAAUGCGCCUCCAUCAUUUUCUCUUCCUCUUUCUCGUACUCUUAAUUUCAUCUUUUGUUCUAAUUUCGUGAUCAAAUUUUAGAAAGCACGCCCUCCCACUUACAAAGGAGAGUCUACCUUGUGAUUCUUUUUCUGUGCAUGCAUACAGAAAAAAAAAUAUAUACAUUAAUGAAUAUAUUUUGGUGGAGAUAGUUUUUAUCCUUAACUGGAUUUUCUUCUCAUCAGCCAGUUCAUUAUUAAUGAACCGUGUCGCUUUCAUAUGUUCUGAGUUAGAAAAACAAGGCUGCAUUUUCUGCAUUUGCAAAAUACAUCUCCCACCUCAUUACUCAUUAGUUAUUCAAUAAUAUAGAACAAUGACAUUGUUUAUGAAAACAUAUAUAGUUCAACAUAUAGCUGGUCCAACAGCUACUGCUCAGCAAUUAUUCGUUCUCCCAAAGUUCAAGUUCUUCAACCAUAACAAUAUCAUUCUUCGAGGUAUUCUUCCAAGAUCAAUGACGAAGCAGCUUCGCUCCAAGAGCGGCAAACACUUCCACAGCGAAUGACAUCCUUGACACUUAAGUGAACAAAUAUCUGUGAAAUGAAAUCUUUCUCUAGCUUUACCCAAUUUCGGAACUUGGAGUUGUUAUUCGUCAUCGUAACAAAGGUACUUUUCCCUGCAACCAUCAUAGAUCAAAACCAGGUACUGUAUAAUAGUAUCAGAUUAAAUUAAGCAUUGAAUCGAAAACUCUAGUAAGUGACCAUUUUCUUCCAUAAUAUUAUACAAAUUAAGAGAACAAAUAGCAAAUAGUGAACCUCAUUUUGUUAGAUACUCUAGUAGUGAACUGACUGAACUCGAUCUUAAAACAGAAAAUUGACAAGAUUAGACGAUUUGAGUCAUGUCUAUCACUUCACGCAUGCCUUAGGUGAUAAACAAAUUCCAGACAACUUAACAGAUGUCCACUAUUUGAGUAUGUAGGAUACAGACUCACACACAACAUUUCAGAUGAAUGCUGAAACCUAUGAAUAACCUUCACUACAUGAUAAAUGAUAUAUAUGCAACAAAAUCUCAUGAGCAAUAAGGUAAGUCAAACUACUUGACUGUUUCAUCUAGUACCGCUUAUAAUUUACAUCUGCUAAACCACAAACAAUUUAAAGUCAAGGAGGCAAACUUAACAAGGGAGACUGCAUUUGCAUACACAAAAGGGUGAUCAAAACAAUAAAAGAAGAAGGCAGUAGUGGUUCUUUCUAGGUAAUUAUGUUAACUAUUUUUUCUGAAAGAAGAAACGAAUAAUAUAAAUAGGGUCACAGUAGUACUGAUGUUACAUAGCGCUUCCAAGCGUAAAUCUUUACUUUCAAGAACUCCAAAAUAGAAAACUUUUCUUGCUUCUAAUUUCAAUGACAAAAAGAUAGAUCAUGGUUCCCCUUCAAGCAAAGAGAUCACCGCCUAGUAGGAAACAAGAUUAACAUAAGAAGUGAAGUACAUAAGAAGGUAAUUUGCAGAACAAAACCAUAAAAGUACUCAAUCCAUAAUGGAUACAUUAUUCACUUUUACAGAAACAUAUAAGCUUCGAGAAUAUACUACAUCUGUUCCCUACGCAGUAUUGAUGCAUCAAGUAUAUAAGCUUUUCUGCAUCAAGUAUGAACUCACAAAAGUCCAUAACGGAAAGUUUAUUCAGUUAAACAACAGUGAAGCAUUGAAAGCGAAAUCGAAAUAUUAAUGAUGGUUCAUGAACAUAAUUUAUUAUGAUUUGAGAACAUUCUAAGAAAUUCGACAAAUAACUGGAAUUAAAUAUAUAAAAAAAAGAACAUUUGCGCUGUAUUAAAUGUUAGAAUCUUUUAGAAAAUUCCUGCUAUUUCUUCACAGAAGAAUAUAAUGGUUAUAUUUAAGUUGAUCCUGUCCUGACAUGAUAACAGCAUGUUGUUCUUCAUCACGAGUCAAAUAUAAUCAGAUGAUGGUACGAGAAUUAGAAACCAGAAUAAUCUCACUGAAAUCACUCAUGUCGAAAGCAGUUUAUUGGAAUAUGAGGAUCCUUGAUUAAUUUCCAAUUAAUCCACUUCAUGUUCAAAACAUGAUUGUGGGUAUAUUGGCUAUUCCUAUUCAACACAAGAUUUCCAAAAUACAAUAGGACUAAAGUGACAAGGUGACAUGAUUCGGAUUGAAUGUAAUUGAAGUUUUGCAUGAUCAGAGGUAUCAAACUUGAAAUCAGAAAUGCCUCUACAAGGUAACAGAUUUAAGCAUCUUGUUUAUGGUAAGUUGAUCCUUUCUCUGACCAAAUUAAGUAAGUAUCUUAAUGCUUGAUUUCUAAAUCAGAAUAGAAGAUAUUUUGGUUGAUAGGCAUUAAUUGAUCUCGCAAGAUUACAUGCAAGUCUAUGGUCUCAACAUGCGAGUCUUUAUUACAGUUAAAAUGAUGGAAGAUAACUGUGUGAAUGCUUGAUAAUAGCUGGUUGUAAUUGGAAUGUAAAUGUCAAUUAUCUGAUUGCAGGUUUCAAGCAAGCAUUAAUUUGUGCAAAGAUAUAAAUGUGAAAAUGUCUAAUUGCAGGUUUAAAAGCAAGAAUCAAUUUGAUAUUUUUGGAAAGUGCAAGGUGAUGGUUGGCAGAUUGCAUGAUUUCCAAAAUACAAAUUAAUUCUGUCAUUGAGUGCAUUAGUUGAGGGGGAGAAUUUCAUUCUCCAUAAAUAGCUACCGCUGAAGAUUGAAAGUUUCAAGCUUUUUGAACAUUAGGAAAAGGCCUUCAUAGUAUUGCCUCUGAGUCAAAAUAUUUCAUGAUAAUGUUCAUAGCGUGUUGAGAGAUUGAUAACUGAUUGACUGCUUCUCUUAUUUGCAUUGUCAGAUUGCACUUGAGAUUGGUGAUGCAUUAGUGAUCAAGGGAGAUAGAAGCAAAGAGUCACAACUAGUUAUGUUGAAGAACCAGCUCACAGUCUGAUAGUGAUAUAGUAUCAGCAAGCAUGAUUCAGUCUCUCGUGUGUGGAGAUCAUUUGAAGUGUGUGGAUCUGAAGAGAAGAAUUCUUGGUUGUGUUUAAGAACCAAGUGAUCUGGUUGUGUUGUAGAACCAGAAAAGAAAUCUGAUAGUGUUGAAGUAUCAGUUACUGGAUCUCAGUUUCUCUUGUGUAGAGUUACAUGAAUCUAUUCUCUUGUGUAGAGUGAGUGGUUGUGUUGAAGAACCAAGUAACCUGGUUGUGUUGAAGAACCAAGGAAUACUGAUUGUGUUAAGAAUCAGUAAACAAGAACUAAGAGUGUUUAAGUCUUAGUGUGGAACUAGUUGUGUUUAAGAACUAGUUGAACUGAAAGUGAUGUAGUCUCAAUACUCUAGAUUCAUUUUCUCUUUGUAGAGUUACAUAAAUUAGAGUCAUUUGUGUUGAGAUAGAGAAUUGUAACCAGAAGUGAGACUUGUGGUGUUAUAGUUGUGUGAGAACUAUACCUCUUGUAAACUUUGAUUUGAAGAUUGAAGUAAUAAUCUUGCUUAGUGCUUUUUCCCACAUUGAGGUUUUGCACCAAACCAUUUGAAAUAUAUUGUGUUGAUUAUCUUUGCCUACUUAAUCCAUUUUAGUUUCUACAAUGAUUUUUGAGAAAAUAGUAAGAACUACGGUAAACAUGCAUUUCACAGCAAUAUGUGAAUGAUCAAUGAUGUGAUACUUGUAUGAAGCAUUUUAAAAUACUUUUUAGAGCAUAUGCUUUUUCAAUGUCUAGUCGAAGAGUACCUCAUGCAUUACUGAAUUUAUUAAAUUUGAGUCAAGUUGUUGGAAAAAAAUUGUCAUAUAUCUGUGAGAUUCUAUUAUAAUCCUGAUAAUCUGAUAUGAAACCUUAAAUCUAGAAAAGUUUUUUUUUUUCUCAAAAAGAAUCUCAUGUAUUUGACAAUUAAUAAGAGUUGCGUGUUGAUUGUUUGCUUACCAAAGUUUCAGAACCUAAUAUGUCAGUGAAGCUUUUUAAAGAGAAGAACCACCCAUCAACAACAUCAUUCUUAUUAAAACAUCCAUCCUCUUCAAGAAAUCAAGGCCAAACCAACCCAAAUAAAUUUGUAUGGUAUAAAAAAGAAAUAUAAAACAAAAGAAAGCACACCAUUAACAGUUUACUCAGAUCUCACAUAAGAAACCAGCAAAUCAAGUAUAAUCAACAAAAAUAUAUCUGUAUCAAAUUCCACUUUUUUGAGCUUGAAUCCCAAAGUAAGGUAAAAGAAAGGUUACCUUCUCUUAGAUGUGUUUGGUGCUUUUAGUCUCUUAGGAGGUGUUUGGUAACACGGACAAGAUAGGAUUUCAAAUCCUAUCCUGAUAACACUUGACUAGAUUAGAUUUAAGAUAUCCAUCUCCUUUUCCUUUAUCAUGUUUGUUAAAUAAGAUUGAAAAUUAGAUAAGUAAAGGUUUUUAAAAAAGAAAAAAAUGAAUUGAGCUCGUGGCUCUAUAGAAAAUGUCCACCUCCGAAACGACGCCGUAUUGCCUCCGACGACGACGCCGCCGUUCUCCGCUGUCCGGCCACGCCUGUGCGCUAGAUCGGUCGCGUUUUGAUCGUCUCCUCCAACCCGUCAUGCCUGUGGUGGUAAAUCGGAAUGCAUCAGUGAAAGUAAAGGUUUCUAUUUUCUGGGCAGUUAUGCUCCGGCGAGCUAGGGUUUCCGGCGACGCUUCGGGCUGCUUUAGGACAACUCUUUAGAGGUAUCUGGGUUGAGAACGACUCCAUUGUUCAUCCGAAAUCGACUGGGUAAGCUACUCCUGCGUCGAUCGAUCCGAAGAACUCUAGAAGAAGAAACCCAGAUCCAUCUACAGUUCCUUAGAAAUAGAUCCAAAUCAUCCAAUCUCACCCUGCCCUUUUGUUUUUCUUCUUCGGCAGCAUGUUCUUGAGGAUGAGGGCGGCAGAGGUAGACGAGGGAGCCGCCGACGCGCUGGGCGUAGCGUUCUUGAGGACGCAGACGACUCGGCCGGUCUAAGAGGUUGUGAGUUGUGACGGCUGCGGUGGUGAGGGUGAUGAAAAAAUGGAGAUUUGAUGAGAAGCGUCGUUCGUUUGUUUCCGUCAUAUCCAUAUGGAUAAGAAUAAUAACACCUUCCCAGCAGGAUUUUAAAUCAAGGUUUGACAAGAUUAAAAAUUUCUGCUUACUUAAUAUCUGAAUGUCUAAACACAACUCCUAAUCAGAUUGGCAAGAAUAAAUCUUGUCAGGGGACCAUAUCCUGGUAAACAAACACCCCCUUACAGUUUGAGAUAACUCAGAAAUGAACCAGCUGAUCUGUAUAUAGGGGGCAGUCAGCUAAUGAAUUUACAGGAAGAACCUCAUCCAUCUGUAACAGCACACCAACCAUGCUAUAAAACCUUGAGAAAGAACCAACAGGAAUAUGCCAAUUCAACAUCUAAGGUUGUUUCAGUAACCUCUAACUGGAAAAAUAAAAAAAUUGGUUUCAAAGUGUCAUUCAACCCUGGAUGAUAUUUAACAGGAUUAAAAGAAAAAGGAAACUCCAUAAAUGUAAUCUCACAAACAUGCACGAAAACAAUUUAAAAGAGAGCGCAAUUUAAUCAACAUGCAUGUGUCUAUGAGCAUUGAGUGUACGAAUUCUGCAGUAGAUUUUCAUCGGAUUGGAUAUGUUUUCUUUCCAGUUCAGCAACAAUUGUCAUUUUUGUUAAUCAAAUUCAAAUUCAUUUCCUUUUAAUAUGAGCUAAUAACAGAUACGAUAUUGGGUCAAAUUAGUUAUUUUCCUAAAAUGGAUUCUCAUUCUCAUCUCUUGCUGCUGUAUUGUCUUUAAAAUGUUUUCUCUGUACGUGGAUAUAGCUGUUCUUCGCACUACAUUCCUCUUCUUAAUCAAGCGUGUUAGUGGUUUUUCUACUUAAAUUUUCUACGUCAAGUAAUGAUCAUCUAUGACCUACUUCUAUGGAACUAUGGAAGGUUUAAUUCAUAGAACAUAUCAGUUUUCUGCAAAUCCCAGAUUGUCUAUGAGGUCAAAGAACAAUAACUACGAAGAGAUUGUCGGUCUAGCUAGUCAAGGAAUUAAUUCUUAAUAUCCUAGAAUAAGAAAAGAAGCCUUUACAGAAAAUAUUUAACUUCACUUUAUAAAUCGGAAUCUGCAACAUGAAAGGAAAUUGUCUAUUAAAGAAAAUUUACAUCAUAGCAUGCACAACACCUACAGCUGAGAAAUUAUACUAACAAGGUCAGCAAUAACGACAAUGUGCCCCGUGACAUGUUAUCUCCUUAUCUAACUGGAUCAAUGGGCAAGGGUACUCACCUCAUCCUUAAAAAUGCCUUUAUCAUAUCGAGAACAGAGCCAAAUAUCCAUCUGAAUUAAUCUGAAAGGGCAAACUUGGGAGUAGCCCGUCUGACAAAAUAGAAACUUCUUUAGCCGUGAAGCCUCUUGAAGGAAUCACUCAUCAAGUUGGGAGAGCGCAGACAAAUAUCCGGGGAUCGGAGAUUAGUCCAAUAUGAGGUAGUGACAUGUAACUCUUCUAACUGCCGUGUUUCUCUGAGCAAGUGAUGUAUAACAUCCUUGUGCACCAUGUUGCACUCAAUACUUAAGACCUUCAAACUUGUAGCAUAUGCAAGAAUAUUCUCAACACAAUCCAUACCAAACGGGCACAGCAUAUUCAGCUCGCUGAGGUUCUUGCAGUGCUGACUAAUUGCCUUCAUGAAUUUAAUAGAAAAACUACCUAUAAUUGUCACAUCCCGACCCUUAUAUUUUUACCUUAUUUACUAGCUUAAUUAUAAUAAGAAUUUUACCGUCCCCAUCAUUAAGUUAAUAGUUUAAUUGGUCUCUAGAGGUAUUUUAAGGGACGAUUAAUUUCGGGGAAUUGUUCGUGGGAGAAAAUAUGACGACGGUAAAAAUGGUAAAUUUUUAUUCGGGUAUUAUUUUUCGGGGUGUUUUAUUUCGGAUUUGGGUGGUAUAAGAAGGUUGGACCGGGCCAAAGGGUGGUCAAGCCUAGCCCUCUUUUCUCUCUCUCUCCCUCCCGGUUUUCCCGCACCCGAACUCCCUCCCGCAGCCGAUCUUUCUGUCGCCGGCCAGCCGCCGUCCGGCCACCAACCGCCGCCGCACCGGUCCCGUUCGGUUGGCCAUCAACCCAGCAACCUUCUUGGACCGGUGACAGCUCCCCUAGCGUCGCCGUGAGGAAGAUAUCGGGCCCGAGAGGUCCGACUGUGUUAGGUUUCACGUCGCCGGAACUCCCUCCUCCGGCCACCAAUCCGGGCAAGCUUGGUACGGUUUUGUAGCCCUCCAACCCAGCAGCCUUGCCCUAAAAGGACUCACUCCCUCUUGAGCUAGGUAAGGAGAAAUUUGAGGUGGAAGUUUUAUGGCGUUUUUGAUGUUUUUAGUCGAUUACCCUAGUUAGGCUUGGAAUUAGUGUUUGUGCUAGUUAGGAAAGUUGUAGAGCAUGAUGAGAGGAUUAUUCUGUCAAAAUUUCAUAGGUUUUUGAGGUCGCCGGAAUUGGCCUCCGGCCGCCGCUGCCGGCGGAGCCGCCGCGGUUUGGGAGAUUUUUAGGGUUUUAAAUGUGGAAUAUUAAGGGGAUUAUAUUGAUGUGAUUUAUGGAAUUUUUGGAUGAGAUUUGAAUAGGUUUGUGAAUUUCCGAAGUUUGGUAUUUUUGGCGGUUAAUUAAUGUAGAAUCUGGCCGUAGGAUUUAAGUCGUAUUUUGGGGAGGUUGUAGUUACGACUGUCGAGUAUGAUAUUUUAGUUCGGAUCGUUUCGAUUUAAGAAUAUCGAAGUUAGGUAAUGAUGAGCGUAUUUAUGGCUCUCGGGUAAUUUUGCCUAUUUUGAUUAAAUAUUGGAUUAUUAGUUGGGAAAUUAAUAUUAUAUUUGGAACAGGACGUGAGGAGGCUCGAGCAGACGAGGCCCCAGAUCGACAUCAGGCUUAGGCCUAAUUUGUGAGUGGACUUUUGUUUUAAAUAAAAUGCAUGCUAGAGUUCUUGAUUGAACAAUAUUUGUUGCGGAAUAUUUUGACGUCAUUUUAAUUUGACGAAUUUUAUUUCUCUUGGAGAGUGACCGAAAAUGGGUUUUCGGUGGAUAUAAAUAUGUAUUUAUGAGAGAGUAUGUAUAUAAAAUGUUAGCUAGCCAUAUGUGUCUGUCCACCUUAAUGGCGUAGCAUAUAGCCGCAUUAUGGUGUGACGUGAGCGUUGGACGUGAGCGUAGUAGCCCUAUUUGAGUGUUUAAUUCAUAUAGGGGGUAUGGACACAUAUUUAUACACCCGUCUGUCCACCUUAAUGGCGUAGUGUAGCACCGCAUUAAGGCGUGACGUGAGCGUUGGACGCGAGCGUAGUAGCCCUAUAUAGACCCAUGAAUUUAUAUAGGGAGUAUGGACGAGUGUAAAUACAUACAUAUAUUAUAGAGUCUGAGAGGCUCGAUAUUUUAUGAGAUAAAAGUUUUAUCGCUUGCGGCAUGCAUUCGAUUUUUCCUUAGAAAUUAAUUUGGGGAAACAUAAAUAUUUUAUUUUAUUAUUUUAUUUUUGUCCACUCACUUUAACGUUAUUAAAUGUUUUCCCCUGGGCCCUUCGUUUUAAAUUGCCCAGUCUGCAGAGUUCGGGUUGGAUCUAGUAGGAGGCGUGGCAUAGUCACCCACAUUUCCGCCAGUUUUCAUCAGUAGGUUACAUGUUUAACCUACUCGUGUUUUCUUACUUCCGUUAGUGUCUAGUAGCUCUGAAUACUUUGGGAUUAUUGUAUAUUACGUUUAGAAUUUCUGAAGGAUAAUUAUGUGAUGUUUGGACGUGUUGUAUUAAGAGUGUAAUUUGGAAUUUUCGAGUUAAGGUUGUCCAUUUUCAAGGGAGAUUUUCUCAAUCUUUUCAGUAAAUUUUCCUUGGAGGUGGUCCCCGCACGACUUACUCCGGGUUUCAGGGUGAAAUUCGGGGUGGGUCGUGUCAAUAAUAGUCAAUGACUCAAGCUUUGGCCAUUUCUUUGUAGACUUGUAAAUAGACCGGAUCUUAAUUCGGGGACCCGCUCCGGAUAAAUGGUUUUUAAACGGGUUUGAAUCGAAAAUUUGAUUCGUGGAUCCGUUAACCCGUUUACUGAACGGAUUGAAUACGGAUCGAGGUUGAUCCGAUCCGUUAAGAACCUGGAUCCGUUUUAAAAUAAUUAAAUAAUAUUUUUAUAAAUAUAAUAUUACUGAUAAAUAUUAAAUAAUAUAAUAUUUAUUUAGAUAACCUAAACGUCUAAAUUGCGUCUAAAGUAUGAUUUGAUAAAGUUGAAGAUUACUGAUGCCUAUAUUUUUUUUUAUGCAUUUUGCUAAAAACAUUGGAGGUUUAGUAUUUUGGUUAUAUUAUAGUUUAUUGUUAAGGAGUAUUUUGGCCAUGUAAUUUAACUUUUGAUGUAAACCUUUAUUUUGUUAUAAUAUUUCAUUAGUGUUUUAUGAAAACUUAUGAUAAAAUUAAGAUUAUAAAUGGAUCGGAUUAACGGGUCGGAUAUCCGUUAACCCGCCGGAUCCAGAUUUGGAUCGAGCUAUCAAUAUUCUGACGGGUAACGGGUCGGAUCCAGAUCUAGGUCGAUCCGCUCCAGAUCCGGCCCAUUUACAGAUCUAGUUCUUUGCAGCUUCUUCAGAAUCAUUAACUAGUAUAAAUUUGUCCUGCACUGAUAGAACAAGGAUCUUUUGAGAUUUGGGGUUCUGUAAAAGAGAGAACUAGUCAAUUUACGUUUCAUCAAAUAACCUCUAUAGAACAUUUUGGGAAGUAUGAACAUUGACCUUUUAGAAAUAAGAAACAAGUGCGGACUUGUUAUCCGAGAGUAGGCGUGGAAGAUCAAGCAAGAUAUAGAUCCACCACAUAAUCUGGAACCGCUAUUGACAAUAUUCAUAAUCAUCUGGCUAGACUGCUCGCAUUGUCGAUUGAAUCGAAGAUCUUGAUUUCCAGCUUACUCAAGUCAACUACCUCCCAGAGGCAGGGUUCGGAAGCUGCUUCCCGCCAAGAUUUGCAAACAAAUGCCCCACGUAUUAAUUCCACAACAUUAAAUGUCAUGAAUAUACGUAUGAGUAUAUCCUUAUCCAUGUCUGCCCAUCUUUCAAAUCCUGAGUUUUUGUUUGUCGUCAUACUAGAAAAGAAGUGGCUGAAACCAUCAAUCAGAAGAAGAUACUGUGUAUAAGUGUAAAGAAUCAAUGAUUAAACUCAACCAUUGUUAAAGGAAGAAAAUAUGUUGCUGAUAUAUUGCUGAUUCGUUGCUGACGUGAUUGAUAGAUAGAUAGUCACUAUUGUGAUUAUAGGAGUGAAUGUAGGAUCUGGUUUAUUUGUAUUUAUUCCUUACCUAGAAUAACUUCUGGAACUUGUAUAUUAUAGCAUAGCUUUGUACGAUUGAGACUAUCUAAUAUACACUCAUUCACAUAUCAAUUUGUUUAUGGUAUCAGAGCACCGAUUCUGGUGUCUCUAACCCACUACUUCCGCUACAAACAACCCACUACUUUUGCCACAAACAAACACAAACAUCAUGGCUGAGGUCAUUGAAACCCCAGAACCACAAAACACCGAACUCAUUCCUUCAUCUAAAGACAAAGAUGUGAAUGAUUUUGACACACCCAACCCUUUGACCUUACACCCAUCUGAUACCACUACCAGGACAAGUACUUUAGCCGACGAAAUAUUUUCGUCGGCCUGUUAUCCUAAUUCGUCGGCUAAGACCUUAGCCGACGAAGGCUCGUCGGCUAUAGUGUCGUCGGGAAAGGGUCGUCGGUGAUGGCUUUAGCCGACGAAUCUAAAGACCAUCGUCGGCUAUUGUUCCAGACUUUAGCCGACGAACUAUUUUUCGUCGGCUAUUGUUCCAGCCUUUAGCCGACGAACAGUAUAUUCGUCGGCUUUACUGACAAACUUUAGCCGACGAAUAUCUCUGUUUCGUCGGUUAAAGUAUAUAAUUAAAAUAUUUAAAAAUAACUAUAGCCGACGACAUAGAGUCUGUUUCGUCGGCUUUAGUGGUGUUUAGCCGACGAAACAUACCAUAAUUCCGUCGGCUAAACCCUUUGGAAAAAAAAAAUUACUAUAGCCGACGAAUUGUGGCAUGUUUCGUUCGGCUAUNNNNNNNNNNNNNNNNNNNNNNNNNNNNNNNNNNNNNNNNNNNNNNNNNNNNNNNNNNNNNNNNNNNNNNNNNNNNNNNNNNNNNNNNNNNNNNNNNNNNAGGUUUUUGACGAGGCAACAGAUCAGCACCAUCGGCAUAUCAGCGCGCGGCACAAGGGGGAGUGUUCUAGGAUAUCUCUACUGUGUGCCUUGGCCUUAUGCCAAUAGGAUAUGUAGUUAGACUAGAUCUAUGUAUUCAUAUCCUUACCAUAUUGGUAUUGUGUAAUUCCCUAUAUAAAGGGCUCCUAUCAAUGAAUAAGAUGACUCUCUUGCUAUCUCUUUGUCUCUACACUUUAUUCUUCAUCACGAUCGUUAUUAUUCUUAUAUAUGUAAGUGAGAAUUGAACAUAUGAACUCAAAUUUGUCAAUUAAACUACCUAACUAAACAGCACACGGCUCACUGACCGUAGACAACAACUCGGUGUGACAUUUAUAAUUCAACAAGAAAUUUUGACUAUUUAUCUAUGUAUGUUAGAUCAAAUAUAGGGAAUGAGGUACAUUUUUUCAUGUCACUGUGAUGCAUUCUUUUUAGCUUCUACAUGAUGUUACCUUUCUUCCAUGUAAAUUUAUCUUUCUCAGAUGUAAGUCAUAAAUAUCUCAUUUUGUGACGACUUUGUUGAACGCCUUUAUCUUUGAGUCAGUUUUUUCAACCCGUCACAAAUUAAAGUCUGAUAAAAUUAUAAAUCACCACUGACUACCUAUCCACAAUGGAGCUUGAAUUCCAUGAAUUGGUGGGGGAAGAAUAGUUACCUUAUGGGUUAUGCACAAACAACUCCACAGGAAUCGAUGUGAAAUGAAGGAAAAAUUUCAAUUGUACCAAGGAUUCAUGUCAUUCAUCUUUAGCUAGCUAGUCGCAUUUAGAUUUAGAGUAACCAAAACUGAGCAUGAUCCUCAGUUUGAGUUUUCCAAGCAGUGGUAAGGAUUCCUUUUUUAUGUAGCAUGUCUAGAGAAGCACUCUAGAAUUUGGAAGUAACAAACUAUCAACAGAUUGGUAUUAAACCAAUAGUUUGUUUCAAACUAUUAUACAAGUGAAGACUAGAGAUGAACAAAAAUGCAAGAUUGCAAGUAAAUUCUCUCACACUUGGUUAAGUAUUACAUUUUACAUGGUUUCUAGUGCUAGAUUACUGAUCAUUUUAACAAAGGGCACAGGACACUUGGAAACAAUAUCGAACCUAGACGGAAAUGAGGCAUGGCCAAACAGAGAUAAACUCAACAAGGCAAGCUCUCUAAGAGACAACCUUGAGGAGAGGAAUCCUUGCCAGUAAUAAGGAUCCAAGUCAAAGAAAGCAUCAAAAAACCUUCUACUUCCAUUAAGAUCAAGCUUCAACAAAGUUUCCAUCCCAAAAGAGUAAUAUUGCCUUACACAUCUCCUCUCAGUUGUCCACAAACCAUUCCACGCUCGUUCAUGAAGCGAUUUCCCUCGGAUCAUUCGAGUUGAACCAAGGCACUCUGCAAUGGCCUCAGCUAGUACCGGUGCUAGAGCCAUUGUCCGAGCCACCAUGUAACCAGUUGAAGGGUGGACAAUCCCAGAAGUCCCUCCAAUUGCCAUAACGCUUUGAGGUAUCCGAGGGAGCGGGCCUCCCAUUGGAACCACACACUUCUCAACCUCCAAUAUCCUCUUCACUCGAAUCCCCAAAUGCCUUAGCCUUGCCACCAUUCUUUUCUUGAUCUCCAUGUAAGAUAAAACCGGCCUACUAACCAGUGAAGUCUCUUCCAAAAAUACCAAGUUGGAAUCAAAUGGCAUUGCAUACAGAAAAGCAGGGAACCUAGAAUUACCAGUACGCAAGUAAGGUUCAUUCCCUAGAUGAGAAUCCCUCCAAUCCAUAAGAACCAUCUUAUCCAAGUCAAAGGGGUGACCUUCCACUUCAGCCAAAAUACCAUGAGCAAUCUGAUACCCAUGAUUCCUUGGCUUAUCAUACUCUAUGAAACUACUUGCAAAACCACUAGCAUCAACAACUAAGCUUGCCUUCAACUCAUUCCCAUCAUCACACACAAUCAAAGACUCAAACUCUUUGUGCUCAAUUUUCCAAACCUUGGCCUUGUGAAAUUUGACUCCAUUGGAGAGACACCUCUCCAUCAACAAUUUCUUGAGCUUCUUUCUACUGACCCGACCAUAAGGACGGUCUAAAUACUUGGUCUUAUUAUCAUCAAUAUGAACACAAGCCAUAGGCCAUGUUUUGUCUAAACAACUUUCAAGCUCCAAGCUCUCAAACUCAUCAACCCAUACACCAUAGUUAUUUGGCCACAUAGAAAGAGGUGAAGGAUCAACACAACAUACCUUGAUGCCAUACUGUGACACUUGCUCAGCUAAACGAAGACCAGCAGGCCCUGUGCCGAUGAUGAUCACAUCCACUCGAGACCGGCUACUCGGGUCCAACCGGGGCAGAUCAAAAUCCAACACUUCAGGUGUUGACUCUGGUUUCAAGUCCAGGAAAUUCCCAUACUUGCUGCUUUGGACUCUGGAAAAUCUCUUUCCUGUGUAAUGGGGUUUGGGGAAAGAGCAUGGAGGGCUGGAUGCAUGGAAGAGUUGACUGAUCUUGGUUGGUAGUAGCAGUGGUGGUGGUGGUGGAAACAAUCUGACGAGGGUGUCCAUCAUAGAGUGGGAUGAAGAUGACAGAGAAGAGGGACAGAGGUUAUAUAAUAGAAGAAGAAUGGGAGAUAGAGACAGAAUGGGAAUCUAAAGCAGUAGUAUGAAAGUGAUGCUUUUCUAAAACUUGGGUAGAGCAGCAUUUGUGUGGGGUAAACGUGCUGCAGGCCAUUUGUCGGGCAUUUAGACAUGCAUGAAACUCCACCCACAUGCGUUACUGAAACAAUUGAAGCCGCCUUGAUUUGGUAAUUGCCUAAUUGAAGCCGCCUCAUUUUCAGGUCUAGUUUGAUGUAUCCGGCGGGGGUAUUUGUUUGACUGGAAUCUAAACUACAAGAACAGAGAGCAUUUAUAUUGUCAAAAAAUAAAGAUGUGAUCAUCCUAUGAUCUUGAAGCAAAUAUUGUCCAAAUUCCUGAGACUCGAGCUGAUUAAGCGAGGGGAGAAUGUCAAUUUCACAUCAACUGAGUUCAUUCAAAUCAGGUGCUGCAUGAAUUGGGUUCCUCAUAAAGAUGAUGUGCAAUGUGUGAAAAGGAAGGUUUCCAAAACGGGUAAAAUAGAAGAGAAUAUGGGAUUGAUGAACUUGAAAACUUGAAUCAUCAAAUACAACUAGCGGUGUUUUAUGAUUUUCCAUUCGUAACAAGUGAAGUCAUUCAUCCAUGUCCCGGUGUUCAUAAAAUACCGAGAUGAUAUUAUAAUGCGACACUGGAAAAACAACGUCACAGACUUUUUGAGGAACCCGACAUUCCAAGUUAAGUUGCAAAGAAAAUAUUACAAGCUACAAAUAAAUUACUUUCAUAUACAACUAAAACAAAAAACAAAAAAAAGUGAACCCGUUAAGCACUGAUUUCCUUUUGAAUAUAGAAUGAUGGAGAUUGUCUUAACAGUUUUUGUUACAUACACAAAUACGGGAAUUAAUCAAGAUCUGCAGGACGGUAACGUGAUUCCUCCACAACAAGCAGCAAUGAUAAUGUACAGGAACACAACAAUCAAACAUGUCAACAGGGCCCUGUGCAAAUUAAACAAUUUUCAAUGUCCUGAAACAAUCAUAGAAUUACUUUCCAUCUAGAAACUUUUGUUUGACAAGCAGGAGAAUUCAGCAAGAAAAAACGCAUGGGUUAUAUUUAUUUCAUUUUCUAAUAAACAUAAUAUCAUCAGUAACAUAAAACAUGAUGACCACUACAAGAAAAGAAGGGCACCAUGAAACAGAAUAGAGAUCUGCAUUCGAAAAUAACAAUAGUCCACAGAUUUAUUCUCUUCAGAGGUUGAUAUCUUAGAUGAGUUCUUAGCACUAUUAGAAAAGCAUGAUCAAGUAUUCUUUCACAAAAGAUCUGAGAACGAACUGAUAUAUUCAAAACAAUGGCAACAAAUCAGUGAAUCUACUAGGUAAAUUUGAAAGAAGAAAAAGAAUGGGAAGCUUGCAAAUGACAAACAAGAAGAUUUACAGGUAUGAUUUGACUUCUCAAACUGCAACCCAUGUCAGGGAUGCUGGAAUUAGAGAGUGACUACAAUAGAGAUUGGCUGUUCUAGUGAGAGUUUUACUUUAGACUAAAAUACAAGAAAUGACAUUUCCUUCCAACUCUCCUUAAGUUGAAAAAGCCGCCAAUCUUUCCUACAGGUGUGAUAUAUUCAUUCCAUUUCUUUUGAAAUUAUUAAAAGCAAAGUAGAACAAUGAAAACAAAACAGAAGGUUUACUAAACUAGUAAACUCCAACUUCAAACAACCCUCUUCUCUCACCCCAUCUCUCGCAUCUCUUUCUGUGAAUCACUCAACCAUUUUGCUGUUGCUACUGCAAUGCUUCCCAUUCAAAUUCAUUUGGUUCCACUCAUCCUAUCUCUAGAGCAAGUCCUAACCUCAUUCAAAUUCCUAACACUCACUUGAUUAAAAAAGCAGGAUUCCGAUUUUGCUGGCUAUUCAUGAUUACACUAGUCACUUCCCAGCAUGCAUAUCUUAAGGAUAAUUACUUCUUUCUUCCCCACUAAAAAUUUCAGUCUUUUGGCAUCCGCAAUUUUUUAUUUUAACAAUGGAACAGUUUUAGCUUUUCUUUGUUCUUGUAGCCCAAGUUGGUUAGAAGAGAAGCACCCUCUAUGGAAGCUAGAGAUCAAAGCUAUUGGUACAAAAGAAUGCCCUUUUAGUUAUUGCAAGCUUGAACUAAGGCCCCUAGAAAGGGUCACUCGUUAGUUUCACUCUUUUGGUUUUUCUACAAGCGCAAAGGAGCUGUAAUUGAAACCUAUACAGGAGGCUAUGGGCAGCCAACCAAGGCAAAAAUUGGUAAUCAAGUAAAAGAGCUAUUGGAGGAAUGGUGCCUCAGUAUCUUCCUGUCUACCUUGUUCUCUUUUUCCUCCCACCAUUGUCUAUAUUCUCUAGCUUUGCUGAGACUACAGCAGCUAUAAUAAUACGUAUCCGUUUAGAUAGGAAUUUUAGCUUUUUCUAUACCACACAACCCCCCCCUCUAAAUCUGAAUCUGAAGAUGCACCCGCCAAGCUUCAGUUCACUACUGGCACUAGCUCCUCAUUGAGUGGCAUUGAUAAAAUACAAAUUUCAAAAUGCGAUAUACACCCAUUGAUGUGUGCCAUAUUCUUCUGAGACCUCGGUUAUUUGAUAAUAAAACUUAAGAAUUUUGGCUUCUGCCUAUAAAUUUUUGCCCCCACCUCCCAAAAAGCUCCAGAAGGGAACAGGUACAUUUCUCCUAAAACAGAUGGAGGCUGAUUAUGAUUCUAUCCUUGGCGCAGCUCUAUAAUUCACCUGGUCGAGUUCCGGUUGUAGGCCUAAAAGAAAGAAGACUAGAGAAAAUUUGGACUCACUUCAGUAAAGUUUUUUAAAAUUACACCAAACAAUUCCCAUGAAUCAGUUGACACACAUUGUUUUGAUAUAAACCACCUGCGAUCUCAUUACCGGGAUUAACAGCAGACAAUGAGAUUUGUGCAGAGCUACAGAUGCCAAAAAUAGUGCAAACAUUAUACAAUAUUGAUUAAUGACUUCUACGAAUGCCAAAAAUCUUGUUAUUUAUGACUGACAGAAGAUCCCUUGGAAAAAGUACAAGCUUGAUCCAACAAAAACAACAUGUGUCUUGAAAACUGUACAGAAAAUUCCAUACCAACUGAUUAACUGGUCUCUUUGGUUAUUUCUCUUCUAACACUUUUCACUUUUUUAAAGACUUGUCUUUCCAGGUCUCUAAAGCACAUAAUUUCAUAUUUAGUGUAUGACUUAAUCCUCCUAAGAUUAGAUUAGAUCUAUGGUAUAUUAGCAAAUAAAAAGUACUUACAAGAGUUUGGCAUUUUUCAUCCACAGAGCUUGACGAAGGCGCUUUGACUGUUUCUUGAAGUGAAAUGCACUGUCUUGCAUAGUUGCAGUUUUGUCAACAAGGAGUUCAAUUCGGUCGCCUCUCUCCAAAAUCUUUUCUAUGUUGUCGACCAUUAUAGUUCGUAUCUGGAUAUCAGAUAACUCAUUGUGAGAACAAACAGAGAUUUUCAAGAGCAAUCAACAACCAAACAUAAGGAAAUAAUAGAAAAACGCAGGCCAUAGCAGACCCAAAAAGUUAAUGAAAACAGUUUUGAAGUCCCUGUAUCAUGCAAAAAUCGUGUCCAACGAAACUAGCUCCUGAACUUAAAAACAAUAGCUACAUGAACUUUUCAAAUAUAAUUUCCAUCAUUUUCAUUAUUUGCAGCUUGCAGUGUAACUUUUUGCUUGUCAUUUCAAGUCUUUCAAUAAAACCUCAACAUGUCAUAUCAUCAAUUUCAUCUCUAGCUUACACUAUUAGUUAAGGAAACCAAUUAUUAGAGUGGGGGAACAAAUCUCCACAGUCAUAUAUCAACUUCGCCACUAGCUCAAACUAACACUUCCAAAAAACACAAAAUCUUUGGCCAAAUUUUUUACAAUAUUUCCAUCAUUUGUUCAUUGUCAACACAAACAUUUCCAAGACUCGUAACGGAAAAUCAAAGACGAGCACAAUAAUACUUGCCUCACCAACUUCGCCUCUCACACGGUUGAGAGUAUCAGCACUGGGAUUGCUGGAGAAAAACUCCAUUUGCUGGUGCAGCACUCUCGAAAACUCGUCGUUCAUCGCAUAAGCAGGAGCAUAAGGCGCAACUCUGCCGUAAUUCUUCAUGAAUCUCAUGUGCACAUCCUCCAAAUACGCAAACGGUAUCCUCCCUGCAUCAAAACAACCACAACUAAACCAAUCAAACACCAAAACACAGCGAAAUUCGAAAAACGACAUGAAUCGAAGCUAGAACUCACUGCCGAAAGUGUCGUUGGCCAUGCAGAGAAAGAUGAGGCCAUCCAAGGUGAGUAUGUGGAAGAUGUACCGAUCCUGGGAGAAGCAAACCCUGGAAUCGGCGUCCGGCGGGAGCUUCUCUAAGAUCCGGCGAGCCACGGCGCCUGUGUUUCCGGUGACGGCGCUAAACUCGGCCAGCACGACGGUGCCACGAGCGACGACGGCGUAGAGUAUCGCCAUGUCCGUCCCCGAUUAGGGCCCUGCGCGCUCUCUACUCCGAUCUCGAUCGAAUCCAAGUCUCACGGGCCAGUUUUGAACCUGAUUGACUCAGUCUAUUUAUAUAUUUUUUUAAAUUUUUUUUCCUUCAAAAUUGUAAUAUUACAACAAAGAAGUGAUAAUUCGAAUUUAAAGUUUGAAGUUUGAAAGUAAGCGCAACGUGAGCAAGUUUGUUGUUACCGGUGAGUCCACGACUUGUUUCGUUCGGGUGUAUGAUAAUUAAAGAUUAAAAUAUCUGUAAUAUAUCCGAUAUUUUUUUUUUUUAAGGUACCGAUAUAUCUAUAAGGGAUCAAUAUCUUAUCUUUCAUCGUAUCUAUGAUAUUUUCCCGAUAUUUCUCUGAUAUCGUCUCUGAUAUUUAGGAAAUAUCUCUGAUAUUUAUGAUAUUUCUGAUAUAUUAAAAAAUAUUUGUAAAAAAAAACUGAAAUGAUAUUCGGAAGAGAAGUAAUUCUCUCAAGGUAUAUCUCAAUGAAGAGUGUGGGUCUCGAGUGAUAUUUAGGAUAGAAGUAAUUUCCUCGAGGUAUAUCUCAAUGAAGAGUGUGGGUCUCGAGUAAUUCCCUCAAGGUAUAUCCCAAUGAAGAGUGAGGGUCUUGACUCUUGAGUGAUUUCCGGAAGAGAAAUUCCCUCGAGGUAUAUCUAGAAUAAAAGUAAUUCCUUCAAGGUAUAUCUCAAUAAAGAGUGUGGGUCUGGAGUGAUAUCUAGGAUAGAAGUAAUUUCCUCGAGGUAUAUCCCAAUGAAGCGUGAGGGUCUUGAGUGAUUUCCAGAAGAGAAGUAAUUCUCUCGAGGUGUAUCCUAAUGAAGAGUGGUGGUCUCGAGAAGAUGAUGAUGAAGACGGUGGAAGCGGAAAAAGUGGUGGAAAUACCGGGUUUGUAUAUGGACAAUCUUCUACAGUUAGUGGAUUGAACAAUUUUUCAUCUGAAGAAAAUUAUAAUCAUGCCUCCCAUGAUCAUGGCUAUUGAAGUACUAGGUAUGGCCGUAUGGAGCGCAAGAGGAUACUAUGUAUGGGAGGAGGACUAAAGGUUCGAAUGAUGAUCAAGAUGUUGCUUCAGUUGUGCUAAGUUUUGAGUCUAUCAGUUUAGGUAGUGGGAUUGGAACCUCAAAUGAAUCCCAAGAAGGCAAUAAUCAAUAUGGCUAUAAUGUUUACGGCUAUAAUCAAUGUACGGAAGUCAGUGAUCAGUCAUCUAGUUGGAUUCAUCCUUACUAUCUAUUUAUAGGGGAAACAGUCGGUUGCUCCAAAGACAUAUAUGAUUAUCAUAUUCAACACUACAAUUCGUACUAUUUGAGUCAUAUGUCUUUGUCUGAUUAUUAUACUUUUAUGGAUCAGCGUGCGUUUUAUCAACAACCUAGAUUCUCAUUUUGGAUGUAGAUGAAGUUGACGUUUGUAAUAUUUAUAUGUAAAUCCAAUAAAUUAAAUAUUUCAGAAAAAAAAAAUUCUUCCCAAAAUCCUGAUAUUUUUUCCUGGAUUUCCCCGAUAUAUCCAAUAUCUGUUUUUUUUUCUUCAAAUGACCAAUAGAUACACCGAUACCGAUAUUUUAAUCCUUGAUGAUAACAAAGUUACGAUGUUCACAAUUAGGAGCUUAUGGUUUACGAUUCCGGUGAGUCCAAGACUUUCAGAAUUUUGUGUAGUGUGUUUCGGGCAACAAUCUUCAUUUAUAUGGCUUGUAGAUAUAAGAUAUUAUGUGGAUGGUCUAAGAUCAGAUGACGUUAAGACAUAUGUAUGGUGAUCUUCACAUAUAAGAUAAGAUUACACUAUAUGUGCACAUUAUGUAUUAAUAAUUAUAAAAUAGAGCUGAAAUUUGCACUCUUUAAUUUACAAACCACACUCCCUGUAAGUUAUUUUUACCAAAUGACCCCUAAAAUUUUGCAAAAUCACAUCUCUACUAAUCCCCACCUUUUCUCUUUAACUGAAAAUGAACCUCUAUCUGGGUUGAAAUACUAUCAUCACCAACAGUUUUCUUAACUCAUCAUAUAUAUAUAUGAUGUUGGUUUGCAUUUCUCUUCUUGAGUAUAGUGUCUUAUCGAUUAAGAAAGAAUUCAUAACAAGAUUGUGUUCCUUUGAUUGAUUCUCUAUGAUGAUGAAGUUAAUUAAGAAAUAUAAAAGAUUGCAACGCAAACCCUUUGCCCAGUUUGCAUUGUUAUGGACUAGGUACUUCUUUCAACAAGAAAUCAAAAGCUUACGUUUUUAGAUAAGAGUACACAUUCAUGUAAUCUCAAUUAAACCAAUCCCUUCAUCAUUGCUAAAGCCAUUCUGAUUUAAAUGCAAAUAGGAGGACAAAAAACCAAUUACAGAGUGCAUCAACCUUUACCAUGAGCUCCCUCGCCAUGAACCCUAUUAAAUUGAGUCUUAACAAUUAAAUCAAAAGAUCCUUAGAUAUUAAAACAACUCUCAAGCAAAGUAAGAACCAUAAAGAAAUAAGCAACAAGAGUUUGAGGAGAGAGAAGACGACGAGGUAUGCACUGUGUAAGUGAUUGAGGGUAUUUUUGGCAAAUGGAAAGACAACUUAAAGAAAAUAUAAUAAAAUAAGAGUUGUGAAAUCCACACACCCUAAAUUGAAAUCCACACACCCUUUUUCUUUUUUUGGUAAUUUAAAUUUUAUCUUUUAGUGACUUAAACUUUGUCUUUUUGUGAAUGUGUUAACCAAAAAAGGAAAAAGGGUGUGUGGAUUUCAAUUUGGGGUGUGUGGAUUUCACAUCCCUAAAAUAAUCAAAAUGAGUGUGGUCUGUAUUUAGGGAAUGUAAAUUUCAGCUCCCUUAGAAAAUCACUUCAACCCCUCUUGUUUUGGAAAUAGAUGCAUUGAUAGUUGUUCAAGAGAUAAAUAACUUAGGACCAAACUGGUCUAUUGAAUAUGCAUUAGGGUGAGUUUGUUUCCGCUUUUAGGCUGCUUUACUUUGUAGUAAAGUUGCAUAAAGUGUUUGGUAACUUUGAAAAUGUCCUGCUUUGCUUUGAAGCAUUGGCCUUUUCAAGCCAAAAGCCAAAGCAACUCCUACCUUGAGUUUGGAAGCAGAAGCAGCGCGCUACUGUAGCGAUGAAUUAAUGAAUCUUUUAAAAUACCAAUGGGUACCCCUCAUGGCUCACAUGAAUUACGACCCAAUAUCAUUUGUGAAAACGCUGCUGCUACUUCAUUUGCGUCUUCUCUUUCAGUUCUUCAACUCUGCCACUCUCCUUCACAAUUCACAAACGUCAAUCACAACCUUGGGAUAAAAGAGAAGAAGGAGAUCGUUUGAUUUUCUGGUGAUUUCUCUUCUUCCCCUUUUCGCACCUGAUAUAUGAAGUCAGGAAAUUGUUUACUUGAUUUCCAUGGUAGUUCCACACUUCCACCGCUGAAUGGUUGUACUUGGAUAGAAGGUAGAACUCAUUCUUGUUUAUUGUUUAUUUGUAUUACAAAUUCAGUUGAUGAGUAAUUGGUAGGUUUAAAGAGAUUUUGAGUAAUUUUUAUUUAAGGUAAAUUCUUAUAUUGAUUGUAGUUGAAUAUUUGUUUGAUUGUUGUGGUUUGAAGAAAUUGAUAGGUAUGUAGUUUUGGGUUUUUUGAUCAUUGUACCUUUGCUCUGAUCAAUGUGAAAAAUGUGAUCGUUACAACAAUCACAUAAAAAAAGUUUACACUUUCUUUAUUGAGCCUAACCUUCAUAAUUAGGAAUUGUAGAUUUAUGUAAAAGCUAGGUAAGAUUACAACCAAGUCUUGAUAAAGUCCACAACACAGUGAUGGAAACCAUCUUUGUUGCAGUUUUUAUGUGGUUUUGUAAUUCAUCUUUGUUGUUCCUAUUGUUAAAUUUUGAUUGUUUUGCAAUUGAUCUUUGUUGGAUGUACUGAUUAGGCAUCUCAAUUUCUUUGAUAUCAAGAGGAGUUAGAAACAAUUGGAUCAUACCUUUUGGACUGGGCAUCCUGAGAUUAUUUGUAAUUGACAAAAAAUUUUAUGCAGGGUCACAAUUUUACAGUUGAAGCUGAUGGGUACUAUGUGGAGCCAUUUGUGAUCAAAAACAUAUUCUUUUACUCUGGUGAGACAUACUCAGCUUGAAACAUGAAGUAGUAAUUGUUAGUGGUAAAAUCAAAGGACAUGCUAAAUGUGCUAGUGCUUUAUAUAAUUGGAGCAUUCAUUCCAGCAACACAGAGAUCACAGUGUAACUUCUCAACUGGCUCAACAAAAAGAAUUUAAUUUGAGAAAACCACCUUCUUUUCCAUUGUAAUCUACUUCCUUUAGAGUGCAUGGUACGCAAAUGUCUUUCUUAAUAUUCGUGUUUGCUAGAACUUAUGUGGAUGCAAAACAAAUUGCACUUCUUAUCCAUUUGGUCUGAGAUAUUUUUGCUACAUGACAGGUCAUGAUAUGUGGUCUGAUAGGAAUACAGAGAUUAUAACUUAACUGGUCUUGUGUUGUAAUCAAAGAUAAUAAGUUCAAUACCAUCUCAAUUUCUUUUCAACCACGACACUCUAAAAUAAUUUUCUAAGUGUUCAGAAUACGGAGAUGCACGUAUCGAUACAUUUCAACUCAGUUGGAACAUGUCAGAUGGUCAAGGAACUAGAGAGGUUAAGAAAGAGGCUCAAGGUGAAGUGAAGUUAAGUUAUUGUUUUUUGUUGUUGAUGUAACUUAUAGCCAAUGUAUGGCUAGUUGUACAAGUUUGGAGGCUUUGUAAUCAGAUGAUGUCUUGUGUAAUCUAUAUAUGUUGCCUAUUAAUUUGAUCCCAUAGUUAUGAACUUGUGAUUAUUCUAUUUGGUUCCUAGUUAUCACUUAAUCAAUUCUCUUAACCUUUCAUCUUAUCGUUGUGAACCUGGGAAAAGUGUGAGGUCACAUACAUAUUAGAAAAUUACGGUAUACACAAGAAAGAGUAAAAUAACUGGAGAAAUUACGAGUACUUGAGAAAUGCUACUUAUAUGGAUUGAAUUCCAUAGGCCAUGACUGAGAAGUAAAUAAAGAGAAAAGAUUUCUCAUGUCCAAAUGGGUCAUUGCACAUUCUCAAAACACUUUUAGUUUUUACUUACCAAACACUUUACCACUACUUGUAACACUUGCAACACUUAUGAAAAGCCAGUUUACCAAACACGCAGUUAUUUUGCUUUCCAGCUACUUAUUCUUAGAAUAAGUAAAAGUCAGCUGUUUUUGGAAGCCACAACUGUACCAAACACACCCUUAGUAGAAGAGAUGAAAUCUUUAUUAAACUUAUUCUCUUUCAAAGUUUUUUAAUUUGUGUGGAAGUGUUUUCAGCUGUAAUCAUCUAGUGUGGUGUGUUUUUAUUGCAAAUAAGUGUUUGUACUUGUAAUUAUGAAUACCUAACCCGAGAAUGAGGCUCUGGGUUUUGUAUUUGUAGUUAUGUUGAAAUAAAUAAAUUCUAUCUUGUACCCAUUAUUUGGUCACAAAAAAAUUUAAUAAAUAUAUGCAUAUUUGAGUCUGCUUUGUGUUUCUAUUUUACAAAUACUUUGCUUUUAAGAAUUAAGAAUUUUCCAUACUAAAACAACAGUGAUUCCGUCAUAUUAAGUAACUAUUUAGACAAUAAGUCGUUAGGUGAAAUAGUGGCAUGUUGAAGGCUAAUUCUUAUGGUGGUGAGUCUUAGUCUUAUUAAAUAAAGUAAUAAGAAAACUUAAAAAGAAAUAUCUACCCUUUUUUGUUUACUACACUAUAACGGAAUAGUUGCCAAAUUUAACGGAAGUAUGUCAUUGAUAGCAAAGUAGGAGUUUAGGUACUACAUUGACAGCUUUGUAAGUCUGGGUAUCAAACUGACUGAGACACAAGAGUUGAGACACUGUUGGUGAAGUUUUCUUUUUGUACAUAUAUAGCCCUAGGAAAUGUAAUCAGAUAUUGCACAGUUAAAUCAGAAUGGCUAACCGAUAUGCUUAAACAGUGAUGCAAACUUAUCUACUACUUUAUAUAUGCAAUUAGUUCUUCUAAUAUAAAUCACUUAGGGUACCAUUUAUAUAUGUAAAUUAAGAAUUGAAAUUUGUUUAGUCCUUAUGGUUUGAAGUCGACAUCUGUUUAGUCUUUCUAGUUUUAUUUUAAUCUGAAUAGUCCUUAAAGUCACAAUUUUUCAUUUAAAUAGUCCUUAUGGUUUUAUUUUAAUAUGAAUAGUCCUUAAAGUCAUGAUUUUUCAUCCAAAAGCCUUUCCGACAAUUUUCUCAGUUAAAGGCCAUAAGGACUAUUUGGAUGAAAAAUCAUGACUUUAAGAACUAUUUAGAUUAAAAUAAAAUUAUAAAGACUAUUUAGAUGAAAUAUAGUAACUUUAAGGACUAUUCAGAUUAAAAUAAUACCAUAAGGACUAAACAGAUGUCGACUUUAAACCACAACGACUAUACAAUAUUUUACCCUUAAAUUAAUAAAACAUAUUUUAACACUGGUUUAGUAGAUAGUAAUCAGAAGACUAGGAACUCGAAUAUGAUUAUGACGGUGAAGUUAGAAGCCCUAGCGUUUGUCCCUCGUUGUGUUCAAAACCCUUUUCAACAUUCUAUCAAUCAUCUAGUUUGUUUUACUCUUUUCUCAUUGUUUACAAAAAUCACAAAAAAAUCUUCUUAUUUUCUUGUUAGUCAUUAGCAUAUUUUGGUCAAUUAGUUAGAGUUGAAAGUUAGUUAUCCAUCCCUAGUUGGAACGACCUCGUAUUUGCAUAAGCUAUACUACAAACGAUUCGUGCACUUGCAAAGUUAUUAAAAUUUGACAACAUAACCGAUUUCAACAAUCCAAGAAUCCGACCUGUUUGCAACUUUUCAUAGACUCCAUAUAUAUUUCUAAUUUUAAUGAGACAAAGGCUUGCAAGUAAUCUGUUCCACUACAACAAUGUGGAGCAAAGGUCACACACCUGGUGUGGCCUUUGGGGGUGUUGUAUUUUUUGUUAAGUGUGGCAAAUGAGGGUAUUAAUGUAGGUAUUGGUGAGGUAUGAGGGAAAAUGCCACACAUGAUGAUUUGCAACACCUCUAAAGACCACACAUCUUGUGUGGCCUUUGCUCCAUCUUGUUGUAGUGUCCCAAGGAAACAUGCAAAACCAAUUACCAAGCAAAGCCAGGUUGCUUUGCAAUACCUAAUAUGGUUCACAGCUUCACAUAAGCCGUACACUUCUGCAAGCACAUGACAGGUACAACACAUGAUAUAAUCUUGAAACCUUAACAAGACCCUAUUACGAAUUUAUUUAUGGAAUUACAAAAAGUAAUCUUCUUAGUUUACUUAAACUUCUACUGUCAAGAUCAGUAAGUUAUCGGUGAUAAGCUCGAAAUAUACGCAACAUGCCUCACAUUAUACCUUAUUGAUUAGUUCAAAGACACAUCACUUAUUUUGCAAAGCUUGUUCUUUAGCAAAAAUAGGAUCGAGACCUUCCUAUGCUAAAGAUAACCAAAAUAUUUCAAAGAAUACAAUGUGAUUAUUGUGGACUUAUCCAUCCAGAAAUGACGGACCAUUAAAGUACUUUAUGGUUUUAGAGGAUGUUUCGAUACGCUAGUCACAUGUCGAAUAAUUAUCCACAAGAAAUGCUGCAUUUGAAAACUCUUAGCACAUCUUAUACAUCUAAGGGUUCACCACCCUAAUCACCAAGUCUAUAGGACUUGACAAUGCUAAGAGUUCACAUCAAAAGUAUUUGAUGAUUAUUGCUUGUUUAUCAGAAUCGAUGUAAAGCAUCUUGUACCCCAUUUGCAUACACAAAAUGGUCUAGCAGAAGCCACCAUCGAUGGUGGCUAGAGCACUGGUUACGCAAACAAACCUGCCUAUAUCUGUUUGGGGUUACGCAAUAUUGCACACAUACUUACUUAUUCAUUUUUAGACUCACUACUAGUCAACCAAUUAAUGUGUACCAGUUGGUAACUGGACAUGAGCCUGAGAUUUACACAUAUUUGGUUGCACAACAUAUGUGUCUAUUGUGCCCCCACAAUGUAUCAAAAAUGGGUCCUUAGAAACGAAUAUGUAUUUAUGUUGGAUACGAACCUCCAAUAAUUACAACCGAUCUCACAACUCGAUUUGCAGAUUGUCACUUUUAUAAGACAAUAUUAUCGUCGGUAGGGGGAGAUAAGAAAAAGAAUAAUCUAUGGGAACGACAUGAAUUUUCGUGUUUGUCCCACUCUGUUUCAUCCUGAUCCCCACAUAAUCAAUAUUUAGAACGUAACAGUUUCGAUGCCUGAUGCGUUUAAAGAUAUUGCUCAAGUGACGAGAUCACACAUACCAACUGCAAAUGCCUGCAAGGUCAAAAGUCCCCAAUAAGGUGCACGUCACCGCAAAUAGAGGCGAUGUAACUACACUUAGUGGAGGUGUAGUUGAGGUCGUGGCUCCCUAAAGGAAGAGGGGGAGGGCACUUACUCGCCCAAAGGAAAAAGGUGGGUAAGGCACAACCUAAUAAUCAUCAAUGUAGUGAAUCUCUGUCAUAAGAUUGUCUCUGAUUACAAUUAUGUUCAUGAAUCAAUACUGGAGGACACUCCGAUGUUUAAAUGAUUCGUGAGACAAAAUCUCAAUGAAUUACAAGAGUAUACACAUUGAUGAUAUAUUCGCACUGUUGCUCAAGAAACUAUAGAGCACGAUGAUAUUGAACCAGGUUAUGUUGAAGAAUGUCAACAAAGAGCAUAUUGACCUAAAUAAAAGUGCAAUAUCCAAGAAGAGCUAUUCUCUGACAAAGAGACAGAUAUUUGGUUUUUGGUAGUGCUAACCUUAUCAAGUGUAAUGCCCGUAGGACAUAAAUAAGUCUUUGUCAAAAAAUGUAAUGAGAAGAAUGAAGCCUUGAAGAACAAAGCUCGCCAAGUGGCGCUAAGGUUUCUCGCAACGCUUUAGAUUGACUACGAGGAGACAUAAUCUCUCAUAAUGAAUGCAACUCAUCGAUGUGGUUACUAGUUAUCUCCAUGGGGAUCUUAAUUGAGAGAUAUUUAUUAAAGGGCCUAAUGGCCUUACACUAUCCAACUCAAGUAACUUUAAACCACGGAGUGCGUUUGCAAUUAGAAUUGAAACACUCACUAUAUUAAAAGUGACUACUUUGUUGGGAAGGGAUAUAAAUGAUGAACUAUGGCCUCAUAAAGGAAACAGGUUCGGAUUUGCAAUUAUAGUCAUCUAUAUGUUGAUGCUAUGAAUAUAGUAGGUAUUCUUGAUGAAAUAAAAGAAACCGCGAGCUACAUAAAAUCCGAAUUGAAAUGAAUAAUCUUGGGAAACUCAAUUAACAAUGAGUUUAUGUCAGUACCCACCCUGAAUUUCACCCUGAAAUCCGAAGUAAAUCCUGCGGGGUCCAUCUAUCUUCAAGGAAAAUUUACUAAAAAUUCAGCAUAAUCUAUCUUGAAAAUGAACAACCCUUACCUGAAAAAUUCCAAAUAAACAAUUCUAUUAAAAAUCAUCCAUCCUCAACUCCUGGUGCCUUCAUGCUCCCCAAGUUCAUCACAUCUCCCAAUAUAUCAAUUAAUCAUCUAAAAGCAUCCCACAACCAACAACAAAGACAUUUAAUAAUUUACUACUGGUCUUUCAGAGCAUAUCUAAAGAUGAAUGAAAAACAAUGAAAACGAAUAAGCGAAAGCAGCCCCUGACUGUGCCUCGACUCCAUGUACGCUCGACCUCAUUUAAACUUAUCCUGCAUACUGGGCAUUUAAAACCAAAAGGCCCAGGGGAAAGUAAUUUAAAAACGUUAGAGUGAGUGGACAAAAAUAAAUUAAACAAUUUAACAAAAUACGUAAUUUAAAUACUUUCCCACAUUUCAGUUUUAAAAACUUAGCUGCACGCAACUUUCGUAAAUCAUAUAACUUAAAUUCCAGAAACCCAAUAGAAUGGACAAACCAAUCCCGCUGGUUAAUCAAAUAAAGAAAUCUCGUAAGAAGAGAUAAACCAACCCCGCUGGUUAAUCAAAUACAUAACAGAGAAAAAUAAAAUAACAGGAAAAGUUAUCACCAUGUAAGAGGAGCCUCCAAGGCUCGGGUCGGUGCCUCCCAGACCAUAGUAGCGUCCCACGCUAAGUGCUAAACUCACCUAUGGUGAGGACAGCUAAUAAGGCUAGCUAACAAUAAAUAAAAAUAUCUGAUCGGUGCCUCCCAGGCUAUAGUAGUGUCCCAUGCUAAGCGCUCGACUCACCUAUGGUGAAGACCGCUAAUAAAGCUAGCUAGUAAUGAAAUAUAAGCGACCCUAUAUUUUGGUGACUAAAAACAUACGACAUCACUUAAAUCCAUUAAACUUCCCCAAGAUCAUAUGAAUGGUACGGUUACGGUUCCCAACCGUACUUGAAAAUCAUCAUAAGAAAUUAUAUUAAAACUCAAUGACGUGUCUCACACGUCAAAAUAUUCUCAAAGCCAUAAUAUAAGCGAGGUUUAAUUAACAAGUAAAAAUCGUAAUUAAUAUCUCAAACCAAAAUACUCGCUAAAAUAUUCUCAAGGUCAAGAUCGAUAUUCCACAAAUAAAUGCGAAAAUUAUAAAUAGCGAACUACCGAUAAUCCCAUUUUCGGAAAUCUUUUAUAUAAAUCUCAAGUCCACAACUAAAGCAAUCAUAAUGAAAUCCAGAAUUUAUAAAGAAUAUCCAAACUCAAAUACCAAAUUAGUAAUCCGAGCUCAAAUUCAUAAAUCAUGACCCAUAAUUAAUCAAUGCUUCAAACUUAAAUACUUUCCAAGAUCAUUUCGUAAGCCGAAAUUAUAAUAUAAGUUCGGAAAAUAAAAUAAUAAAUUAUAAAAUCUUGCAUGCAUAUUUAUUUAAAACCAAAAUGUCCACUCACAAAUUUAAGCAUAAGCCCGACGAUAUCCACAUCACCACUCAAGCGAGGUUCCCUUCGUAUCCUGGCACAAUAAAUAUGCUUAGGACCAAACUUCAAUUCCGGAAAAUAAAUACUUGAAUAUAAACACCCAAAUCUCUUCCGCUUAACCCACUACUCUUACUAGGGUUAAGCUUACCGGAUUCACACCAAACUCCACCACAACCUUAAUUCAUCAAUUCUAACAUUCUAGAAUAAAUACCAAGGAAAUCCAACGGCCAGAUUUUCACUAUAACAACCGCCAAAAUUCUCAAUUUUUGAAAAAUCCCAAACCUAACCAAAACUCCUCCAAAAAUUCCAAACAUUACAUCAUUAAACUCCUCUCAUUAAAACAAACUCAAAAACAUGAAAAACUACCCCUAAGCGGCAGCGGCGCCGUCUGUUCCGCGGGCAGCGGCGGCUGGCCAGCCCAAUUUCAGGCGACCUCCAAUGGCUACCAAAUUUUGACACAAUUUUCCUCUCAACAUUCCAAACAACUUUCAUAACUACCACAAAGUCCAAUUUCAAGCCUAACUAGGGUAAUCGAAGACAAACAUAAAAAAAAAUCUCAAUUUCAAACCUUAGAAUUUCAAACCUUUGAUUCUCCUUACCUAGCUCGAGUUAGGUCGAAUCCUUUUAGGGGUUUGCUGCUGGAAGGGAGAGCUUCAAGACGAGACCGGUAGCUCUGAUUUUUUUGGCCGGAAAAAGGAGUUCCGGCGAGAACACCUCCGCGGCACAGCCGUGACUUCCAGGCGAUCAUGCUCCUUCACGGUGGCGCAACAUGGGCUUCCACCUACCUAGACUUGUUGUCACAUCCCGACCCUUAUAUUUUUACCUUAUUUACUAGCGUGAUUAUAAUAUGAAUUUUACCGUCUCCGUCUUUGAGUUAAUAGUUUAAGUGGUCCCUAGAGGGGUUCGGGGACGAUUAUGUGCGGAGGAUUAUUCGUAUGAGGAAAAAUACGACGACGGUAAAAAUGGUAAAUUUAGCUAGUAAAAGGUAAUUUUUAUUCGGGUAUUAUUUUUCGGGGUGUUUUUAUUUUUGAGUUGGGUUGAUAAGGGUGGACCGGUUGGGAGGCCCAACCCAUUUCUUUUUUUUCUCUUCUUCUCUCUUUUCUCUUCCUCCUCUCUCCCGUGCCCUUUCCCCCCUGCCGGAUCGUCCAGCCGCCGUCCGGCCAGCCACCGGCCGCCGCUCCACCCCAGUUCGGACCCCCAUCUCCUCCUCUCCCACCCCGGCCUAGCCCCCGAGCCUCUAACCCGCCGGAAACACCGGGAAGCAUUUCGCCGGAACUCCCUCCUCCGGCCACCAAUCCGGGCAAGCUUGGUAUGGUUUUGUAGCCCUCCAACCCAGCAGUCUUGCCCUAAAAGGACUCACUCCCUCUUGAGCUAGGUAAGGAGAAAUUUGAGGUGGAAGUUUUAUGGUGUUUUUGAUGUUUUUAGUCGAUUGCCCUAGUUAGGCUUGGAAUUGGUGUUUGUGCUAGUUAUGAAAGUUGUAGAGCUUGAUGAGAGGAUUAUUCUGUCAAAAUUUCAUAGGUUUUGGAGGUCGCCGGAAUUGACUUCCGGCCGCCGCUGCCGGCGGAGCCACCGGCGGCGCCGCCGCCGGUUAGGAGAUUUUUAGGGUUUUAAGUGUGGAAUAUUAAGAGGAGUAUAUUGAUGUGAUUUAUGGAAUUUUUGGAUGAGAUUUGGAUAGGUUUGUGAAUUUCCGAAGUUUGGUAUUUUUGGCGGUUAAUUAAUGUAGAAUCCGGCCGUAGGAUUUAAGUCGUAUUUUGGAGAGGUUGUAUUUACGACUGUUGAGUAUGAUAUUUAAGUUCGGAUUGUUCCGAUUUAAGAAUAUCGAAGUUAGGCAAUGAUGAGCGUAUUUAUGGUUCUCGGGUAAUUUUGCCUAUUUUGAUUAAAUAUUGGAUUAUUGGUUGGGAAAUUAAUAUUAUAUUUGGAACAGGACGUGAGGAGGCUCGAGCAGACGAGGCCCCAGAUCGACAUCAGGCUUAGGCCAAAUUUGUGAGUGGACGUUUAUUUUAAAUAAAUGCAUGCUAUAGUUCAUGGUUGAACAAUUAAAUGUCGUGGAGUAUUNNNNNNNNNNNNNNNNNNNNAGUUUUCAUCAGUAGGUUACCUGUUCAACCUACUCGUGUUUUCUUACUUCCGCUUGUGUUUAGUAGCUCUGAAUACCUUGGGAUUAUUGUAUAUUACGUGUAGAAUUUCGGAAGGAUAAUUAUGUGAUGUUUGGAAGUGUUGAUUUAAGAGUGUAAUUUGGAAUUUUCGAGUUAGGGUUGUCCAUCUGCAAGGGAGAUUUUCUUAAUCUUUUCAGUAAAUUUUCCUUGGAGGUGGUCCCCGCACGACUUACUCCGGGUUUCCUUGGAGGUGGUCCCCGCACGACUUACUCCGGGUUUCAGUGUGAAAUUCAGGGUGGGUCGUGUCACUUGUAGAGGAUGCUCCAAGCUUCAAUUUGAUACCAAGCUUGCCGCCUAUCUUGGCCGGAUGGCGGCGGACGGGGGCGUUGAAGUCCGGCGGUCGAAACUGGCGCGGGAGAGGAGAGAGAGAGAGAGAAAGUAACUUUCUGAUUUCUACCUUACCUCUUCUGGUAAGUUUCCCUUUUUAUACUCCCAACUGAAAUAAUAACUAUUGUUUUUAGACCAUAACUUCUUCAUACGAACUCCGUUUUAAGCGUACCACGUGUCCACGAACUCUGUUUAACGUCCUAUACGACUUUCAUGAAGAAAGUUUUCCCAAAUUUUAGACGAAGGAAAAGUCAACUUUUGAAGCCUUAAAUAGUAAAUGGUUACUCAAAACAGUAAAAGGUCAAAGUAACCUAAAAAUCAAUAACCGCAAAUUAAUUGAAGAACCGGGAUGUGACAGUUUAUGGAAUACUAAUCCACCAGUUUACAUGUGUCUAAAUGAUUCUCAAGCAUUUACAUGGACAAAAUGUACACUGUUAGCACUCCCAAUGAUCAGUCGAUGUUUGGAUGUAAAGAA